UACGUAGGGGGCAAGCGUUGUCCGGAUUCAUUGGGCGUAAAGAGCGUGUAGGCGGCCAGGUAGGUCGGUUGUGAAAACUGGAGGCUCAACCUUCAGAGGUCGACCGAAACCAUCUGGCUAGAGUCCGGGAGAGGGAGAGUGGAAUUCCUGGUGUAGCGGUGAAAUGCGCAGAUAUCAGGAAGAACACCCGUGGCGAAAGCGGCUCUCUGGAACGGUACUGACGCUGAGACGCGAAGCGUGGGAGCGAACAGG
rnacentral:rRNA from 1 species